rnacentral:rRNA from 1 species
CCACGCCGUAAACGUUGGGCGCUAGGUGUGGGUCCCAUUCCACGGGGUCCGUGCCGCAGCUAACGCAUUAAGCGCCCCGCCUGGGGAGUACGGCCGCAAGGCUAAAACUCAAAGGAAUUGACGGGGGCCCGCACAAGCGGCGGAGCAUGCGGAUUAAUUCGAUGCAACGCGAAGAACCUUACCAAGGCUUGACAUACACCGGACGACUGCAGAGAUGUGGUUUCCCUUUGUGGCUGGUGUACAGGUGGUGCAUGGUUGUCGUCAGCUCGUGUCGUGAGAUGUUGGGUUAAGUCCCGCAACGAGCGCAACCCUCGUUCCAUGUUGCCAGCAACACCUUCGGGUGGUUGGGGACUCAUGGGAGACUGCCGGGGUCAACUCGGAGGAAGGUGGGGAUGACGUCAAAUCAUCAUGCCCCUUACGUCUUGGGCUUCACGCAUGCUACAAUGGCCGGUACAAAGGGCUGCGAUCCCGUGAGGGGGAGCGAAUCCCAGAAAGCCGGUCUCAGUUCGGAUUGGGGUCUGCAACUCGACCCCAUGAAGUCGGAGUCGCUAGUAAUCGCAGAUCAGCAA